rnacentral:tRNA from 1 species
GGGCGGGUGGCGGAACUGGUAGACGCGCCAGACUUAGGAUCUGGUAUCGCAAGGUGUGAGGGUUCGAGUCCCUCCUCGCCCAC